AACGAACGCUGGCGGCAUGCCUAACACAUGCAAGUCGAACGAGACCUUCGGGUCUAGUGGCGCACGGGUGCGUAACGCGUGGGAACCUGCACUUAGGUUCGGAAUAACUCCCCGAAAGGGGUGCUAAUACCGGAUAAUGUCUUCGGACCAAAGAUUUUUCGCCUUUGGAUGGGCCCGCGUUGGCUUAGCUGGUUGGUAGGGUAAAAGCCUACCAAGGCGACGAUCCAUAGCUGGUCUGUGAGGAUGAUCCGCCACACUGGGACUGAGACACGGCCCAGACUCCUACGGGAGGCAGCAGUGGGGAAUAUUGGACGAUGGGCGAAAGCCUGAUCCAGCAAUGCCGCGUGAGUGAUGAAGGCCUUAGGGUUGUAAAGCUCUUUUACCCGGGAUGAUAAUGACAGUACCGGGAGAAUAAGCUCCGGCUAACUCCGUG
rnacentral:rRNA from 1 species